UUAGUGAUAAAAGUAUUAAUAUGUUGAAACAGUUUGCAUCACGAGAAGAAGUGGUUUAAUAUCAUUGAAACAGUUUGUAUCACGCGAAGAAGUGGUUUUACGAGAAACGAAAGAGUUUGUAUCAUGCGAAGAAGUAGACGAAAGAUUUAUUUUAGUUAAAAUAGUCAACACAAACAAAUCGAUUAUUUUGCUGAGAGUUUUGCAUGAAAUUUUGGUUGAUGUGGUCAGAUGGAUAUAUGCAAUAUUUUUUAUCUUUUUUUCUGGAGUCACUACUUUUUCCGGAACAAUUUAAUAAGGUGAUUUUUAAUAGAAUACUAUUAUAUUAAAUGUAAAAAUUUUAAAUAGUAACAAAUUGAUUUAUAUGUAGAUUUUACAAACAUACAAAGUAGUUGUAACGUAUUUCAAACUGUGAUAAUACUUCAUGGGUAUGAUAAUAUAAAUUUUUGAAAGAUUUUGCAUUAAAGUUUUAUUUCCAGACUAAUAUAUUAAUUCGCUUUUUAGAGUAAGUAAGAUAUAUUCUGAUUAAAAACAAUGCUUCAUUAAACAAUGAAGAUGCAUAAAGAUGACAAAUGUCCUGUGAUGCAGAAACACCCUAGUUAUAACUAAUAACAUUAAAUCUACUGUAUAAUUGGCGAACUGUAUACCGACAUGCUUCG